CCGCUGAAUCUCAGGGUCAAUGCAAGCGCACGGAAUGGUUUAAACCACAAACAUGUACGGCAAAAACUUUACCAAAAGGUGAUGCUUUUAAUGAAUUUAGUGUAGAUCACAAAUUAAAAUGUAUGAAGGCUUGUAAGCAAACAACGGGUAAUUGUUUGUCCAUGUCUUAUGAUAGAAGAAACAAAAAAUGCUAUCACUUUGAUGAUAUCGGUGAUAGUUGUACUGAUAUGGUGGAGGAACCCGAUACACAAUAUUACUACAAGGAUAUAGAAUGUUUAAAUGGUGGAACCAAGACGUCGUCAACCCAAUGUAACUGCCCUGUCGGUUUUAUAGGUCGGAAUUGUAACAGAUUGGUAUCAGGUUGCCAAGAGUUAUAUGAAAGUGGGGUACAUGGUCUCAACAAAGUCCUGAUUCAACCGAAACCAAAUGGGUCACCUAUACCAUUGUAUUGUGUUAACAGAGAUCACGUCAUCAUGAGGCACGACAGAGACUAUCCAUUCAGUUUGAACAGAACAUGGGAUGAAUACGUUAACGGAUUCAUGUUAGAUGAAAAUCGUGUUUGGAUUGGACUUGAGGCCUUGCACCAAAUCACCAAAUAUAUCCCUCAUCAGGUUUUGGUAAUCCAGGUCGAUGCUGAUAGUCGAUUCUAUUUCUAUGCGGAGUACACAGAUUUCAAUGUUGGAGACCGAUCAACACAUUACAGAAUUACAUAUUCCUCAUAUAUCCCCCGUUUUUUAAAUAUUCUUAACGACACUUUAAAUGGCUUAAAUGGAUCAUCUUUCAGUACUUAUGACCGAGAUUACGACGGUGAUGCCAAAAGAAACUGUGCUCUCCAAUAUGCUGGAGGAUGGUGGUUUAACGGUCUAAACGGUUGCUCAAUAAAUUCAAUUACGUCACUUUUCACCUGUCCUACAAAGAAUUGUGGUACAAUGGCAGUAAAGAAGUUUCCAGAUCACAAAUACCUACACGAAUCCGACAAAAUUGUUGGUGUCACAUUAUAUAUUAAAACCGUACAGUAAAAUACUUGACUUAGGGCUCGCUAUAUAUGUUACAGUCAAUGUCUAAAUUCAGGCAAUGUGUAAAAUGCCUUUGUAACCCUAACCCCCACCCCAACCCUUACCCUAACCCUAAACCUAACCCGGCAAUGUACACAUUGACUGGUAUAUUUCAGGCAUUUUACACAUUGCCUGAAUGUAGACAUUGACUGUCACAUAUAUAGCUUUAUUGAUCCGUCAAUGAUCAAGAGGUUUAUAGAGCAUUGGACAUAAUGAUAGUAAACAAAUAAUUUAAUAAAU